GUAAAUGAUGAUUUUUCCACAACUCACGACGGUCAACUGUGUCUUAUAUAAAAUAUAUAAGACGUUGAUGAUAAUAUCGGUCCUGACAGACCGUGGAGCCUGACU
rnacentral:snoRNA from 1 species